rnacentral:rRNA from 1 species
UACAGAGGGUGCGAGCGUUAAUCGGAAUUACUGGGCGUAAAGCGCACGUAGGCGGCUUGGUAUGUCGGGUGUGAAAUCCCCGGGCUCAACCUGGGAACUGCAUCCGAAACUGCCUUGCUAGAGUAUGGGAGAGGGAAGUGGAAUUUCCGGUGUAGCGGUGAAAUGCGUAGAUAUCGGAAGGAACAUCAGUGGCGAAGUCGACUUCCUGGACCAAUACUGACGCUCAGGUGCGAAAGCGUGGGGAGCAAACAGG